rnacentral:rRNA from 1 species
UACAGGGGGUGCAAACGUUGCUCGGAAUUAUUGGGCGUAAAGCGCGCGUAGGCGGCCACUUAAGUCGGAUGUGAAAGCCCCUGGCUCAACUGGGGAAGUGCACCCGAAACUGAAUGGCUUGAGUGCGAAAGAGGGUCGCGGAAUUCCCGGUGUAGAGGUGAAAUUCGUAGAUAUCGGGAGGAACACCGGCGGCGAAGGCGGCAUCCUGGACUGGUCCUGACACUCAGGAGCGAAAGCGUGGGGAGCGAUCCGG